UACGUAGGGUGCGAGCGUUGUCCGGAAUUAUUGGGCGUAAAGAGCUCGUAGGCGGUCUGUCGCGUCUGCUGUGAAAACUCAGGGCUUAACCCUGAGCUUGCAGUGGGUACGGGCAGACUAGAGUGUGGUAGGGGAGACUGGAAUUCCUGGUGUAGCGGUGAAAUGCGCAGAUAUCAGGAGGAACACCGAUGGCGAAGGCAGGUCUCUGGACAGUUCCUGACGCUGAGGCACGAAGGCCAGGGGAGCAAACGGG
rnacentral:rRNA from 1 species